rnacentral:rRNA from 1 species
CCUACGGCGUGCAGCAGUGGGGAAUAUUGGACAAUGGGCGAAAGCCUGAUCCAGCCAUGCCGCGUGUGUGAAGAAGGCCUUCGGGUUGUAAAGCACUUUCAGUGGGGAAGAAAGCCUUGGGGCUAAUACCCUCGAGGAAGGACAUCACCCACAGAAGAAGCACCGGCUAACUCCGUGCCAGCAGCCGCGGUAAUACGGAGGGUGCGAGCGUUAAUCGGAAUUACUGGGCGUAAAGCGCGCGUAGGCGGUCUGAUAAGCCGGUUGUGAAAGCCCCGGGCUCAACCUGGGAACGGCAUCCGGAACUGUCAGGCUAGAGUGCAGGAGAGGAAGGUAGAAUUCCCGGUGUAGCGGUGAAAUGCGUAGAGAUCGGGAGGAAUACCAGUGGCGAAGGCGGCCUUCUGGACUGACACUGACGCUGAGGUGCGAAAGCGUGGGUAGCAAACAGGAUUAGAUACCCGAGUAGUC